rnacentral:rRNA from 1 species
CGAGGAUUAAUACUGCGUAACAUUAUAUUAUCGCAUGAUAAAAUAAUCAAAUCUACGGAGGAUACAGAUGGGCAUGCGUGCCAUUAGCUAGAUGGUAAGGUAAUGGCUUACCAUGGCGACGAUGGCUAGGGGUUCUGCAAGGAAGAUCCCCCACACUGGUACUGAGACACGGACCAGACUCCUACGGGAGGCAGCAGUGAGAAAUAUUGGUCAAUGGAGGCAACUCUGAACCAGCCAAGCCGCGUGAAGGAAGACUGUUCUAUGAAUUGUAAACUUCUUUUGUGACAGAGUAAAGAUAGCUACGCGUAGUUAUUUGCAAGUAUGUCAUGAAUAAGCAUCGGCUAACUCCGUGCCAGCAGCCGCGGUAAUACGGAGGAUGCAGGCGUUAUCCGGAUUUAUUAGGUUUAAAGGGUGUUCAGGCUGUCUGGUAAGUCAGAGGUGAAAGUCGGUUGCUUAACGAUCGAAUUGCCUUUGAAACUGUCAGACUUGAGUAUGGAUGCGGUAGGCGGAAUGUGUAGUGUAGCGGUGAAAUGCAUAGAUAUUACACAGAACACCGAUUGCGAAAGCAGCUUACCAAACCAGCACUGACGCUGAAGCACGAAAGCGUGGGUAGCGAACAGGAUUAGAUACCCUGGUAGUCCACGCAGUAAACGAUGCUCACUCGCUGUUGGCAAUAGAUCGUCAGCGGCUAAGGGAAACCGAUAAGUGAGCCACCUGGGGAGUACGAUCGCAAGAUUGAAACUCAAAGGAAUUGACGGGGGCCCGCACAAGCGGUGGAACAUGUGGUUUAAUUCGAUGAUACGCGAGGAACCUUACCUGGGCUUAAAUGUACGAUGCAUAAGUGUGAAAGCACUUUUUCCUUCGGGACUUUGUACAAGGUGCUGCAUGGUUGUCGUCAGCUCGUGCCGUGAGGUGUCGGGUUAAGUCCCAUAACGAGCGCAACCCCUAUUGUUAGUUACCAGCGCGUAAAGGCGGGGACUCUAGCGAAACUGCCGGUGUAAACCGCGAGGAAGGUGGGGAUGACGUCANAUCAGCACGGCCCUUAUGUCCAGGGCUACACACGUGUUACAAUGGC